GCAGUGAUGGCCGAGUGGUUAAGGCGUUUGACGAGAAAUCAGAUGGGAUCUUCCCGCGUAGGUUCGAAUCCUACUAACUGCG
rnacentral:tRNA from 1 species